GAGAGUUUGAUCCUGGCUCAGGACUAACGCUGGCGGCGUGCCUAAUACAUGCAAGUAGAACGCUGAACGAGGAGCUUGCUUCUCUGGAUGAGUUGCGAACGGGUGAAUAACGCGUAGGUAACCUGCCUGGUAGCGGGGGAUAACUAUUGGAAACGAUAGCUAAUACCGCAUAAUAUUGACUAUUGCAUGAUAAUCAAUUAAAAGGUGCAAUUGCAUCACUACCAGAUGGACCUGCGUUGUAUUAUCUAGUUGGUGGGGUAACGGCUCACCAAGGCGACGAUACAUAGCCGACCUGAGAGGGUGGUCGGCCACACUGGGACUGAGACACGGCCCAGACUCCUACGGGAGGCAGCAGUAGGGAAUCUUCGGCAAUGGACGGAAGUCUGACCGAGCAACGCCGCGUGAGUGAAGAAGGUUUUCGGAUCGUAAAGCUCUGUUGUAAGAGAAAAACGAGUGUGAGAGUGGAAAGUUCACACUGUGACGGUAUCUUACCAGAAAGGGACGGCUAACUACGUGCCAGCAGCCGCGGUAAUACGUACGUCCCGAGCGUUGUCCGGAUUUAUUGGGCGUAAAGCGAGCGCAAGCGGUUAGAUAAGUCUGAAGUUAAAGGCUGUGGCUUAACCAUAGUACGCUUUGGAAACUGUUUAACUUGAGUGCAAGAGGGGAGAGUGGAAUUCCAUGUGUAGCGGUGAAAGCGUAGAUAUAUGGAGGAACACCGGUGGCGAAAGCGGCUCUCUGGCUUGUAACUGACGCUGAGGCUCGAAAGCGUGGGGAGCAAACAUGAUUAGAUACCCUGGUAGUCCACGCCGUAAACGAUGAGUGCUAGGUGUUAGACCCUUUCCGGGGUUUAGUGCCGCAGCUAACGCAUUAAGCACUCCCGCCUGGGGAGUACGACCGCAAGGUUGAAACUCAAAGGAAUUGACGGGGGCCCGCACAAGCUGUGGAGCAUGUGGUUUAAUUCGAAGCAACGCGAAGAACCUUUCCAGGUCUUGACAUCCCUCUGACCGCUCUAGAGAUAGAGUUUUCCUUCGGGACAGAGGUGACAGGUGGUGCAUGGUUGUCGUCAGCUCGUGUCGUGAGAUGCUGGGUUAAGUCCCGCAACGAGCGCAACCCCUAUUGUUAGUUGCCAUCAUUUAGUUGGGCACUCUAGCGAGACUGCCGGUAAUAAACCGGAGGAAGGUGGGGAUGACGUCAAAUCAUCAUGCCCCUUAUGACCUGGGUUACACACGUGCUACAAUGGCUGGUACAUCGAGUCGCAAGCCGGUGACGGCAAGCUAAUUUCUUAAAGCCAGUGUCAGUUCGGAUCGUAGGCUGCAACUCGCGUACAUGAAGUCGGAAUCGAUAGUAAUCGCGGAUCAGCACGCCGCGGUGAAUACGUUCCCGGGCCUUGUACACACCGCCCGUCACACCACGAGAGUUUGUAACACCCGAAGUCGGUGAGGUAACCUUUUAGGAGCCAGCCGCCUAAGGUGGGAUAGAUGAUUGGGGUGAAGUUGUAACAAGGUAGCCGUAUCGGAAGGUGCGGCCGGAUCACCUCUUUC
rnacentral:rRNA from 1 species